GGGUUGUGAGGUUAAGCGACUAAGCGUACACGGUGGAUGCCCUGGCAGUCAGAGGCGAUGAAGGACGUGCUAAUCUGCGAUAAGCGCCGGUAAGGUGAUAUGAACCGUUAUAACCGGCGAUUUCCGAAUGGGGAAACCCAGUGUGACUCGUCACACUAUCAUUAACUGAAUCCAUAGGUUAAUGAGGCGAACCGGGGGAACUGAAACAUCUAAGUACCCCGAGGAAAAGAAAUCAACCGAGAUUCCCCCAGUAGCGGCGAGCGAACGGGGAGGAGCCCAGAGCCUGAAUCAGCAUGUGUGUUAGUGGAAGCGUCUGGAAAGGCGCGCGAUACAGGGUGACAGCCCCGUACACAAAAGCGCAUGUGCUGUGAGCUCGAUGAGUAGGGCGGGACACGUGGUAUCCUGUCUGAAUAUGGGGGGACCAUCCUCCAAGGCUAAAUACUCCUGACUGACCGAUAGUGAACCAGUACCGUGAGGGAAAGGCGAAAAGAACCCCGGCGAGGGGAGUGAAAAAGAACCUGAAACCGUGUACGUACAAGCAGUGGGAGCCCCACCACUAAGCCAGUGGUGAACUCCACAUACGCAUCCUUUGCUGAAGGUGCGGUUAACGGAGCGCAAGCGACGUUCAACCUCAAAAGAAGCAGAGGGGGCUUUGGGGUGGGGUGACUGCGUACCUUUUGUAUAAUGGGUCAGCGACUUAUAUUCUGUAGCAAGGUUAACCGCAUAGGGGAGCCGGAGGGAAA
rnacentral:rRNA from 1 species